ensembl:lncRNA
UUUGCUCCGGGAAAAGUCCAGAUUUCGAUUUAGAUAAAGACGUCAUUGUGUCCGCCUGUAAGACGUAUUUUUAGACGGUACGCAGGAGCUUCAGGUUCAGCCGGAACACUCAUUGCGGGCGGAAGCUGCGAAGAAUUCAGCGCGGAGCCGAGCGAGAAGAAAGAGGAUGCUGGAAUCGAGACAAACUGUGCUGGCUGAUGACGAGGUGGAACUCUGGAAAUCCGCCACCGUAGAGUUCAUGUCGGACGGAGAGGAUGGCGUUGUUGGCGGGGUCUCGGGGUGGAUUGUACGGUCACCGCCAUUGCGUAGACGCCUCUAACCGACUCAGAAGAGCCACACACACUAGGCGCCAGUGACAGUCUACAACCCCGAGGGGGCAAACGGACAGUUUACUGAGCUGUAGUUUUUUA